rnacentral:rRNA from 1 species
UAGGGAAUCUUCGGCAAUGGACGGAAGUCUGACCGAGCAACGCCGCGUGAGUGAAGAAGGUUUUCGGAUCGUAAAGCUCUGUUGUAAGAGAAGAACGAGUGUGAGAGUGGAAAGUUCACACUAUGACGGUAUCUUACCAGAAAGGGACGGCUAACUACGUGCCAGCAGCCGCGGUAAUACGUAGGUCCCGAGCGUUGUCCGGAUUUAUUGGGCGUAAAGCGAGCGCAGGCGGUUAGAUAAGUCUGAAGUUAAAGGCUGUGGCUUAACCAUAGUACGCUUUGGAAACUGUUUAACUUGAGUGCAAGAGGGGAGAGUGGAAUUCCAUGUGUAGCGGUGAAAUGCGUAGAUAUAUGGAGGAACACCGGUGGCGAAAGCGGCUCUCUGGCUUGUAACUGACGCUGAGGCUCGAAAGCGUGGGGAGCAAACAGGAUUAGAUACCCUGGUAGUCCACGCCGUAAACGAUGAGUGCUAGGUGUUAGACCCUUUCCGGGGUUUAGUGCCGCAGCUAACGCAUUAAGCACUCCGCCUGGGGAGUACGACCGCAAGGUUG